rnacentral:lncRNA from 1 species
AUUCCUCCAUGGGAUCAUCUUACAAGGUGUGACCAAAAUAGUGAUGUAGGGCCCUCACAUAGUCAUUCCAAUUCGGCAACCCCUUUCCAAUUUUGGUUUUCACCAUUGCUAGUGCCAUUGUAGAGCUUUGCUUCCAAAUUAAUAGAAGUAAUCUUGGCCUUCGACUCCUCCGGAGUUCCAUCAUAGUCAAAAAACUAUUUGCACCGAUAAAUCCAACCCCGCAAAUCCUCACCCCAAAAUCAUGGAAAGUCGACUCGAUUGUACCUGAAUGAAUUCUGAUUGUGGGUCACACCUCCAUUUUCCAUUGUUGGGGCAGUUGUCGCAGCUAAAGGAGCUGCCAUAUUUUUUGCCAUAGUCAUAAGCAAUUGGCGAAUUUGUUCGAGUGCUCCG